GUGCACAUUUCCUUGUCAUUUUUAUCAGGAUAAAAAGUAUUUCUGAUGUGCUAAACAACCUUUAGAGGUAAAUCAGCAGCAUGACUAAUUUAGCCAUUGCUGUUAGUCACCUUCAGACAUGU
ensembl:snoRNA